ensembl:lncRNA
GGACACACCUCUCAUGGCUACGAGGACUCUACGGCAAGUCAGAGCAUCCAGUUUGCAAGAGCGCGAAGAUGGCAAGAAGAGCGUUUGUUUUGCAGUGUAAACACACUGUUAAUGACUGCACUCGCCUUUUACUGUCUGAUAAUCCCGGGCCUGCUGUUUUUCAGUCAUCAUUAAACAGACUUCAAACCAUGCUGAGGAGCCUGGAAUGGGCAAAGGGGACUCUUCUACAUACUCAGGCAGCAGAUGAGAUCAUCCAUGAAGUAUCAGAUUUUAUUCAGGAGAUUCAAACUUCUGAACCAAGAGCACAGGAUGACAGCACUGUAUAUCGACCUCCACUGAUUCGUAGUGGAUCCAGAGGUGCACCAUCUUAUGUCAUUACACAGGAUCAGCUGUCAUUUUUGUUGUCUUGUGGCUUCACUGUAAAACAGAUUGCACAAAUUCUACACACCUCCAUAUCCACAGUCAAGCGACGUUUAAGGUAAGUUAUAUAAUAUAAUAACUAAUAUCCAUUGACUACACACAUUAUACCCUGUUCACAGGUGUA